rnacentral:lncRNA from 1 species
UGUCGGGAAAAUGAGAUUUUAGCAUAUAUAGUUACAAAUAUGAUAAAUGGAAAGGCUGAACUUGUACCUCGAUGUCCCUUGAUGCGAAACAUGAUUUUUAAGCCGCGUUUGUUUGGAGUUCGGUAAACUGGUAGUAUGAGAAUGUGUCUCAAUGGUCCUCAACUCGAAAAUGAUUUGAAUCGAGUUUAUUAUAAAUUUGACAAAUUGAAAAGUUAAUAUGUUUUUCGAUGACACUUGAUGCGAAAAUGUGAUAUUUGCGCAUAGAUGGUUUUAAAUUCUAUAAAUUGGAAGUAUGCGUUUUGUCUUCUGUUAUAAUGUUUUUUGAUGACCCUUGACACGAAAAUUGGAUUUUAGCGAAGUUUGAUAAAUGGGAAGAUUGAACUUGUGCCUCGACGUCAGUUGAUGUGAAACUUGAUUUUUAAGCAUAGUUAAAUCUAAAUUCAUUAAAUUGGAAGUAUGGAAAUGUGCCUUAAUGACCCUUGUUUUGAAGUUUGAUAAUGAUGGUUGAACUUGUCAGUUGAUGCGAAACUUGAUAGUUAAGACUAGUUUAAAUUCGGUAAAUUGAAAGUAUAAAAUUGUGCCUUAAUGACCCUUGUUUCAAAAAUGGAUCGUUAGUGGUUAAAUAAAUCACGCUUGCCCGUAGACCGUUGAAUUUGAUAGUAAGAGUUUGAGUUGAAUCUUUCAAGUUUGGGUGCUACAAUCAUUGCUGCCAUUUUUAGGUAAGAAGACUUAAUUUGCCUCUCUUCCCAUUUGCACCUUUACCCUUUUUUCUUUUUGACUGCGUAAUAGAGAACUUUUGUUCUUUUCAUUCUUUACCUACUUUGGUUUUCAACUUCUUGUAUCUAAAACUUUCUUCACAUACGACAGCAGACAUGGUGUUCCAAUUAAAACAACUGUAUCUGUGACUGUUUUGGAAGAGGCACUCAAUGGUUCAGUUACAAUUCGCCAACUUCCAUUGGGAUAGUUUGUAUCUAAAAGGGUUGACAAGCAAUGUGCACUUUCCUGUUUAGCUACAACCACGGUUACAAUCGCAGAAGCGGAAGCAAGAGCUACAAAAGUAAAUUCAAGCAGACAUGGUGUUCCAAUUAAAACAACUGUAUCUGUGACUGUUUUGGAAGAGGCACUCAAUGGUUCAGUUACAAUUCGCCAACUUCCAUUGGGAUAGUUUGUAUCUAAAAGGGUUGAGAAGCAAUGUGCACUUUCCUGUUUAGCUACAACCACGGUUACAAUCGCAGAAGCGGAAGCAAGAGCUACAAAAGUAAAUUC